AGAUUGAACGCUGGCGGCAGGCCUAACACAUGCAAGUCGAGCGGUAGAGAGGUGCUUGCAUCUCUUGAGAGCGGCGGACGGGUGAGUAAUGCCUAGGAAUCUGCCUAGUGGGUGGGGGAUAACGUUCGGAAACGGACGCUAAUACCGCAUACGUCCUACGGGAGAAAGCGGGGGACCUUCGGGCCUCGCGUCAUUAGAUGAGCCUAGGGUCGGAUUAGCUAGUUGGUGAGGUAAUGGCUCACCAAGGCGACGAUCCGUAACUGGUCUGAGAGGAUGAUCAGUC
rnacentral:rRNA from 1 species